UUGAACUGGUUGUUUUUAACUAUGGAGCUUGUUUCCAGCAGCGGCAGCAGUGGAAAGCGGUGGCGAGAAGAGGUGGAGGGGGAGGAAUGGCUUCAGCACGUUUCAGAGGUGGCCCUGGGCUGAUGCUGGGUCUAGACAAGAGGAGACGGAGGGGGAUGAAUGGCUUCGGCAAGUUCAGAGAGCUGUAAUUGGAUUUACUGGGUCUAGCAGCUGAGUGCCAAUUGUGUUUCCAUGGAGAAAACAGUAGGUCCAGCUCGUUCUCCCGUGUACUCUGAUCUCCAGCUCCCUCGGAGGCACUGCCUUUGCCGCUGCCCAAGAAGCUCCUCUACACCGAAGACAGGAGUCCCAGGGAAAUAAUCGGGAACACAGAGACACGGCGUGCUCACAGCAUCCCAACAGCCUUGGACGUGGGUUUGAGGUGUUUCCUUUGCAAGCCCUGCCAGGAGCAGAGAGCACAGAGCUCCAAAAAGCAGAGCAUCCUGUGGAGACCAAGCCUCCCCACCUCCGCUUGAACUCCUCUUCGGCACCAAAAGGCUGCCAGGCCCUGCAACACAAAGAGAAAUGCUUUCCGCAACUUCAUCCGAGCCAGGCGUCUGAAAGCUUUGUACCUGCUCCAAGACCAUCACGUUUCCCUCCUUGUAUUUCCUCAGAGAAGAAAGCCAGAACAUCACCCAAACGCAUGUCAUUAUUAGUAAGUGCGUACGCACAGGGUGGC